GGAUUAUGGCUGUCUGUCGGUUCUAAUCGAAUCGGCUCGGCUGAAAUACAUGAGCGACCACACUGAAUACAGUGACGGCUUGACUCGGCGUAAUAAUUUUUUUCCGCUGAGGACGUCCAUUUUUCAGAUAGGCGCUUCUAAUGCUACAAAUCUUUUAAGCUUUAGACCUCAAAUCAGUCAGGACUACCCGCUGAACUUAA
rnacentral:misc_RNA from 1 species